GAUGGCUGUGUCCCCCUCCCUUCACAAUGGCACCCCACCCAAACCAGGGAAGCAGCAGCAGGAGGAGGAGGAAGAAGACAGGAGUGUUGUCGACCAUGUGACCCCAAUACCUGCCGCUGGAAGUGUGAUCGUCCCUGCUAAGGAGGUUCCAGAGAUCCACAAUGGUUCUGCAGGUUCUACAGGUACUGUCUGAGGUGCUGCUUU